rnacentral:lncRNA from 10 species
AAGAGGGAUGUGUGGGGACUAUGGGCAAACAGAGAGGGCUUUUUGCACCUAAAGACCUUCAAACUGCAAAAACUAAGCACCACUUCUACAGCCAACAAGAGGCCAUCUGAGGGCCAUGUCCAUCUGAAGGCCUAUCCCACUCAGGGCCUCCCAGGCAUGGUUCCUGAAUCCUGUCUCCCUCCUAGCCUAGCGAGAGGCCUGCCAGAGUACUGCCUUCAUGUGCAGGAUGGGGACAUCCAGGCCCCAGGUCACAGCUCCAGCUCCAUCUGCAUCCUUCAUGCUCCCUAAGAGCCUGGCAGCCCAACUCUUCAGAGGAAGCAGUCCUUCCCUACUGCUGUUGCUGCCUUCAUGGCCUCAGCUGGGUCCCUGGGGCUGGCACCUGGCAACCUUAUACCCCCGGGGCCAACACCCAGGCCUGCACAUGUGUGCACAGACACAGGACAUGCCUGCGUGCACCCAAGCACCUGCCCCCAAAGGCAUACUCAGGUGCUUUUGGGCACCUUCUGCUCUAUUCAUAGAUCCCCUUCUCCAGGAAGUCCUCCCUGACUAUACUCCCUCACACUGCAUGCUAGAUCUGCCCCUCCUCUCUCCAGGCCUUCAUCAUACCUCACAGUGACCUGUGGCAUCCCCUCCCCUGGGAACAGUGGCUCUGGUGGGGAGGAACUGUAUAUGACUCACUUCUGUGCCCCCCAGCACGGGCUUGGCACAGAGCAGGUGCCUGCAAGUGUUUUCUGAGUGCACAGGAGAAAGUUAAGAAGCAUCACAGAUAUUAGGCUUCCUCAGUUCAAAUCCCUAUACGGCUACCUACUUGCUGUAUGACUUGAGCAGGUAGCUCAAACCUCUCUGUCCUCAGUUUCCCCACGUGUGAUAUAGGGAUAAUAAUAGUGUCGGCUGGACACGGUGGCUGACACCUAUAAUCUCAGCACUUUGGGAGGCCAAGGUGGGAGGACCACCUGAGGUCAAGAGUUCGAGACCAGCCUAGCUAACAUGGCAAAACCCCAUUGCUACUAAAAAUACAAAAAUUACCCGGGCUUGGUGGAGUGCACCUGUAAUCCCAGCUACUCUGGAGGCUAAGGCAGGAGAAUUGCUUGAACCUGGGAGGCAGAGGUUGCAGGGAACCUAGAUCGUGCCAUUGCACUCCAGUCUGGGAGACAAGAGCAAGACGCUGUCUCAAUAAAUAA